UCUCUCUUCUCUCUCCUCUCUCUUCUUUCUUCCUCCUCACGAUAGAACCGGUUCCCUUCUUCUCCUUCUUUUCUUCUCGUGCGAACCAGGAGCUCGGAGACAGCAGCUUGCCGAGAACCGCUCGCCGCUCAUCCCGUCGCCGCACCGCCGCCCGCGUCCGCGCCGCGCCCGAGUGCCCGCCGCUCGCCGUCGUCCCGCCGUCCCGCGCGAUCCAGCCGCGAAUCAGCCCUGUUUCGCCCCUGUCCGCACCGACCAGCCACCGACCAGCCACCUCCGGCCACCGCCCAACUCCGCCCGACCUCCCCGACGUUCCCCUCGCCCUCCGCCGGCCUUGCUCCGCCAUCUCAGCCACCGGAACAGCCUCGUUUGGCCAUGAACAGCAGCUGGAAAAAUGGGUUUCCAGCACUGUUCAAGGCCUUUUUGGGCCGUUUCCCGGCCCCGAACCCGAGCCGCGCUUUGGGAAGAAUUGUUCCUCGCGUCGCCGCCGUCGGAUUGAUCCGAUUUGCGCGCGAUUUGGACCCUGCUAAGGAGCUGAGGAGGAAGAGUCGGAGAAGGAUUUUUGGGAAAAGAAGAUAAUCCUGAGAGGGGCCUUGAGUACGGCCCAGAUGAACUGAGAUUGUAUCUUCUUUGAUAUCUCCAUCUUGAUGUGAAUAGAGUUUAGAA